rnacentral:rRNA from 1 species
CCUUGUACACACCGCCCGUCACACCAUGGGAGUUGCUUUACCCGAAGACGGUGCGCUAACCGCAAGGAGGCAGCCGGCCACGGUAAGGUCAGCGACUGGGGUG